AGUGAACGCUGGCGGUAGGCCUAACACAUGCAAGUCGAACGGCAGCACAGUAAGAGCUUGCUCUUACGGGUGGCGAGUGGCGGACGGGUGAGGAAUACAUCGGAAUCUACUUUUUCGUGGGGGAUAACGUAGGGAAACUUACGCUAAUACCGCAUACGACCUACGGGUGAAAGCAGGGGAUCUUCGGACCUUGCGCGAUUGAAUGAGCCGAUGUCGGAUUAGCUAGUUGGCGGGGUAAAGGCCCACCAAGGCGACGAUCCGUAGCUGGUCUGAGAGGAUGAUCAGCCACACUGGAACUGAGACACGGUACAGACUCCUACGGGAGGCAGCAGUGGGGAAUAUUGGACAAUGGGCGCAAGCCUGAUCCAGCCAUACCGCGUGGGUGAAGAAGGACUUCGGGUUGUAAAGCCCUUUUGUUGGGAAAGAAAAGCAGCAGGUUAAUACCCCGCUGUUCUGACGGUACCCAAAGAAUAAGCACCGGCUAACUUCGUG
rnacentral:rRNA from 1 species